CUGGCCGCCAGCGGCCUGGGGCGCGGGGCACUGACCCGCCGGGGCGGACCCUGCCCGCGCCCCUCGCGCGCCCCAGCACUCAGCCAGGGCGGAGGCCGGGGCUGGGCCGCGCGGCCUCGCCUCUUGGGCCCCGCGGGGCGGGGGUGACCGGCGCGGGUCCCGCGACCCAGGGCGGCCGCGACCGUGGGCGGUGGGGCAGGUGGGUCAGGCGGCGCGUGCCCUGUCCCCUCCCCGGGCUCCGGCCACACGAGCGGGCCGGCGCUGCGCUGCUGGCAACGUGUCGCGGGAACGCUCCUACCCCAUCUGCAUGCCUUACAUGGCUCGAAAGUAAAAAUAAAAAGAAUUACGAUGCGGGCGAGGCUUGUGGGGGUGAGAAGAGGAGAUUCCACGUCUCCCCAGUGCUGCGUCCUGAUAGGACCCCCAGGGCCUUCCGAGCCCUCUCCCAGCGACCACCUCGUGUCCCGGAGUUGCAGCAAGAGAUGUGAGAAGGUGUCACCCUGAAGAGGAAGUGGUGGACCAGCCCUGCCUGAUGUGGACAGCAGGGGACACAUGUCUGCCUGUCGGUCUAUCUGAAAUGGGGGAAAAAAUGCUGAAAGCCAAAGGAGGGCUUAAUGUGGCCUUUUCCACCUUCUAAUUCCAUAGAACCUCAGCUCUGGGACUUGCUUCCUGACCUAGGGUGCAGGGGCCAAAUUUGUUUGGGAACAACCCCAUUCACAAUUCCCCAUGAACUUUCAGAAAGGACCCUUGCGUCUUAGGUCCUGAGAAGUCACAAAUAAGCAAGCUGCAUUGUCUAAUGUCUUGUCUACACUGUUUUACAAACACAUUUAACAGCCGAAUUGUAUAUGUGCCCUAGAAAUCACUUUGAGAAACACUUAUUUCCUGAUAGAGGACUUGAUGGGACCAUUCUGCAGCCCCAUCUGAGCAUGGGCUGGAGAGUACAUAAGUAUCUGGGAGCUGGAAGUCCUCAAUUCCAGGCUUAUCUGCCCCCAUCAGCGUGGGACCUCAGUUCCUCCUCCAAGGAGAAGAGCGCCCCUCCCUUGAUGUUUUGUGCAUUCUUUUGCUAAAUGUUUCUCUGGUCAAGAACUUUAAUCCCCCUACACACACACUGUAUUGGUUAUUAGAGCAGCAUGGCUAUUUAUGGAAUAGUUAAGUAUAAAACCCGAUAUACCUUGCCCCCCUUGAGGCAGUACAACUGAGUAGGUGAGCAGGUGCAGUCGGGAAGACCUGAGAGACUGCCCAAAAUAGGAAGAGUCCGAGGCAGGCCUGGAAAGACAGUCUUCUGGGGAGGGAUCCUGCAAAGAGACUCCAGUACAAAGGAUAUAUGAGAGGAAAUACGGGGAGGCUGGGCAGGCACACACCGCUGGCCUGCACAGAACCAUAUUCCUUUCGUGCUUCCCUCUAUAGGUGACUCCACUCUCUACCCUGCAGGUUGGCUUCCUCUGCUCAAUGAUAACCACACAGGGCUGCCAGCAGCAAGCCCUGAGGCCUUCUGACUUUUAGCACCCACCACCUUUGAACUGCCUCAAGCCUUCCAUGACAUAGUUUAACUUCUCAGGGAAAUAGUGCGAUUGGCCUAGCCUGAGUCACAUGACUCCCCUACGCGCAUGGCCCCCCACCACUCCCUACUGCUAACAGCUGAGACAAGGGACAUGGUGAAACAUCUGGGGAAGGGAGGGGAGAUGACUUUGGAAGUGGGAUAUCUAAUAAGGGUGGGUUGCUGUUUAACCUGUGGAAAUGGGGAAGGGGUGUUCUUGACCUGAGCUUCUCACCUGGGGAUGCCCAUCAGAACCAUCCAGAAGCCACACCUAACCAACUAGAGUCUUCUAGGAUGGUGCCUGGAUAUGUGUAUUUUGAGAAAGCACAAGGGGAUGAUUUUGCUUACAAACUGCUGUUCCAAGAGAAAUCGAUGGCACAGAAUUACCAAAUCUGACUUGAUUGUAGUAGAAGAGGAACUCAUUCACUGAACAAAUAUUUGCUGAGUGCCUACCAAGUGCAUGGCAUUGUGUUAGCUGCCAGAGAUAGACGGUCUUUGUCCCUAAAGAGCACACAGAUUAGUGGGUAAGAGUGCAAGCAUCAUAUCACCAAACUCCUUGAAUAGCAGGGUGAGCAAUUUAUAUGUGUUAAGGUCAGAG
rnacentral:lncRNA from 1 species